UCUUCUUCUUCCUUUCUUAUCUCUUUGUCUUCUUCUUUAUCUCUUAGUCUUUCGUUCUUUAUCUUCUUAUCUCUUUAGACUUUAUUCUAGCUGGACAUCUGGAAUCACGUUGUCUUCUCCAUUACAUUUUGAACAUAGAUGAUUAGGGUAUUUGUGUCCAAUUAGUUUGCAAUAUCUGUUUAAUAGUUCUGGCGAAAUAAAUCCUGCUUUGAGUGCUCUUGUCGUAG
rnacentral:lncRNA from 1 species